UUUUUAAUGGCUCAUAACUUUCAUUACAUGUGGUCUCAUCUUGCUGCUUCUGCCUUUCUGCUCCAUGGCAUCAUAAUUAAAUAUGUUUUUUUCCCCUGGUGUAAUACACUUUCAAAGUGAAAAACAUUAAAACUCCUGGAAACAACAAGAUGUGGCCCCUACCAAAGUACUGUAUAACAGUGUGUCACCCUGUAAAAAAAUAUAGAGCUAGUCUGCUGACUCACGCUGGUAGCCAGAUGAGAUGGAUCUCAUUACCAUCAAACAGCUCUGAGCAAUAGAAGAAAGGGAAGAAGAUCCUUCAGAGUGCCCCAAAUCAGCCCACUUUGGAGUUAAGGCUUAUAUUUGUGGCCAAAGAACGUCAGUUUCUCUGCAUUCUUACAGUCUUAAAACACCCUAUCUUCUUGACUCAUGGUCUGAACUCCUAGCUUCAUGGAAGGCCUGCAUGAAGCCCACCAGCUAAGAUACAGACCUGUUGGUUGGAUGACAGAAGAGGGUGACAGAAACAGAAACCCAGAGUGCAAAUAUGGUCAAACUUCAGCAGUCUGGAGAAAUCUGGUGCUCAAGUUGAAUGGACUUUUAUCUAACUUUGGAGGGCUGUGUAUUAAAGCAAGAUAUGAGUCUUCAGCUAAUCUAACAGCCUGGUGGAGACAACAAACUGGAGACUUCUGUGGAGACUUUCUGUGGAGACAACAAACCUAAUACUUUCUGUGCACGUAUCCUCUUUCUAUCUGAAGUUACGAAUAUUGGCUAUGCACUUGUAUCUUACACGUGAAGUAUUCCUGUGUGGCACCCUGCAGGCAGAAUUUACAGACAGCUAUGUGUUGAUGACCCACUAAGGACACUCAACUCACAAUGGGCCAUCGAAGAUAUUCAUCCCGUCCAGUAAGUCUUCCUGUGGACACCUCAGAAAGAAUAUGGGCAGUGGUUGCCUCUGUGUGCCAUCAAGCCAUGUAAGGAUAUGUGAUAUGCUCAUGUGACCCUGGACUCCAUCUUGGGCCAGUAAUUUUCCAUGCACCUGGGCUGUGGGCUUCGUUUGAGACAGUAAAGUUCCAUGCACAUGGCACCUGAGACAUCUCUAUUUUGUCUUUAAUUUCCUGCUUCAUUUCUCUGGACUGGAUUUCUAACAAGGAAGCUUUGAAUAAGGGCUGAUGAGACCCAAUCUGUUUGGGUAACUCCAGAGAGACUUUUACAAGCUAGCAGUUUAUUCCAUCACUGCUUCCAACUUGAUAUAAGGACUUUGCAAUCACUUUUGUGUGUUAUAUAUAUGAUCUAUUAACCAUUUAUGACUCUUCUUUUCUUUUAUUAUUAAACCUUUAGUUUUUAGUUAAAGGAUUAGCAUCAGCAUGAUUAUUGGGUAAGAGCUGAGUUAUAUAGUAACCUGGCCAAGUGGCUGUCCCUUGGGAUUGGAAGGACCUUAUAACUGAGUAAAUUGAUUUUUCAGUUACCACUCAUAAAGUCUAGUGUCUGGAUGGUGAGCUAAGGACUGGAAUGCCUAAGGAGACUGCAUUUUUGUUAACUCCUUGUUAAUCAGUGUGGUGGUAUAGAAGUUCAUUUUGUUAUUGUCUUGGUAUAGUCUAAUGACAGAGUAACCACCAAUUUGGGGUGCGUCUACCCUAUUUCUCAGCAGUCUGUCCUGAAUCUG